rnacentral:tRNA from 2 species
AGUAGGGUCAGCUAAGCAAGCUAUCGGGCCCAUACCCCGAAAAUGCCAGAAUCGGCCCCUACUA